rnacentral:rRNA from 1 species
CGAAAGCCUGACGGAGCAACGCCGCGUGCGGGAAGAAAGCCUUUGGGUUGUAAACCUCUUUUCUCAGGGAAGAAACCUGACGGUACCUGAGGAAUCAGCAUCGGCUAACUCCGUGCCAGCAGCCGCGGUAAGACGGAGGAUGCAAGCGUUAUCCGGAAUUAUUGGGCGUAAAGCGUCCGCAGGUGGUGAGUCAAGUCUGCUGUCAAAGCCAGGAGCUCAACUCCUGUCCGGCAGUGGAAACUGACCCACUCGAGGGUGGUAGGGGUAGAGGGAAUUCCCAGUGUAGCGGUGAAAUGCGUAGAGAUUGGCAAGAACACCGGUGGCGAAAGCGCUCUACUGGGUCGCACCUGACCCUCAGGGACGAAAGCUAAGGUAGCG